rnacentral:miRNA from 1 species
UGUGUCACUUGACGACCACUGU